rnacentral:rRNA from 1 species
GACGAACGCUGGCGGCGUGCCUAAUACAUGCAAGUUGAGCGCUGAAGGUUGGUACUUGUACCAACUGGAUGAGCAGCGAACGGGUGAGUAACGCGUGGGGAAUCUGCCUUUGAGCAGGGGACAACAUUUGGAAACGAAUGCUAAUACCGCAUAAAAACUUUAAACACAAGUUUUAAGUUUGAAAGAUGCAAUUGCAUCACUCAAAGAUGAUCCCGCGUUGUAUUAGCUAGUUGGUGAGGUAAAGGCUCACCAAGGCGAUGAUACAUAGCCGACCUGAGAGGGUGAUCGGCCACAUUGGGACUGAGACACGGCCCAAACUCCUACGGGAGGCAGCAGUAGGGAAUCUUCGGCAAUGGACGAAAGUCUGACCGAGCAACGCCGCGUGAGUGAAGAAGGGUUUCGGAUCGUAAAACUCUGUUGGUAGAGAAGAACGUUGGUGAGAGUGGAAAGCUCACCAAGUGACGGUAACUACCCAGAAAAGGACGGCUAACUACGUG